UACCGGCUGUGAUUUAGCGGCUAGUUGGUUUCGUUUGGCAAAUACACGCGGCGUUCGUUAGUUUGCGCAUCUACGUUUCUCUCACCCUCUAUCGGUCUGUGUUUCUCAUUGUUCUGAACCUGUGUUGAUCAGUUCACAUAGCAUAACCGAGGCUUGUCGAUGCGAACACAGAAUUUUAUAGAACGAACGCUUUCGAGAGAUCGGAUUUUAUCCUCGAUCAAUAAAAAGUCGAUAUAUGUAUGUGAUAAUAACGUACGGUUAAUAAUUGGAUCUAUGGUUGAACCAUCAAAAAGAUGGUGUAAUCACGUUUCUUGUUUGGAGAAAUAUGAUAUGAUUAAGGUCUCGAAAUAAUUUCGUUAUGUAUGCCGCUGAAAUGUAUUCUUCACUGUAAGGAUCAACAAUUAUAUAUAUAUUUUAUUAUAUUAGUAAUAGGAACAAUGGAAAAGAGUAACAUUUUUUAAAGAUUAAUUAAUAGUAGAGAUUAAGUCUGUUCGAAUUUUAUAUACUGAAUUGAAUACAUUGAAUUUAGUGUGUCAUGGAAUAGAUAUUCGUUCGAGCAAAGAAAAACCACCCGGAAAUGUAACAAACCGUCUAAUGCGUGUAGCCAUAUAUGACAGCUUUUACACCGUACAAACCGGCUGUUUAGUGUGUCGCGCAUGUUUCUCGAAUAAAAACGGCGAUGAAAACCGCAUCCUGGAAGAACGUCCUUUGGAAUUGCUGUGGAACAAAAGCACGCUUUACACAUGCUCGUAAAAAUGCAGACACGUAGAUCGUUUAAACCGUACGAACGCACAAUUGCUUAUCCACGGAGGUUCGCAAGAUACUCUUGGGUCGAUCGUCGAUAAAACCUCAAUUUCUCAUAGGAAGACUAAUUUCAGUUCGCAUGAAAAACUACCCCGACAGUUCGGUUCCACGAAAAUACAUGAGAAGUUCCAAUAAAAAAAGAGCGAGCGAGUGAGAGAGAGAGAGAGAGAGAGAGAGAGAGAGAGAAACGACCACACGCGAACCGGUGGUAGCAGAUGCACGAGAAGAUGGAUUCCCGUUAAAAACGGCCGAUAUCGUCAAAAAUAAUGGCGUGGAAGGAACGCAUUUUGGCACGACGGACACACUAGAUACCGUGGAAUGGAUUCGAGCCAGAGAGAAUGAUAACACUUAAACAAAUUUUGCCUGCCUUAUCUUGUCGUAUAUUAUUCGAGGUCCAAAACAUGGGGAUUAUACCGGACCCUUUCUGUCUUAAGUAUGGUAGCACCAUAUUAACUGGUUUAUGACUAUUACUCUGUCAGUAAUUAAUUAUUGUAGCCAAAUGUAUCAAGUAAUUGUACGUCCAACCACCCAAUGAAGAAGAAAGAAGCUAUGAAUUUCCUAAAAAUAUACUUCUCUUAAUAACUGACCACACAAAAAGCUGGUCCCAUGACCAGUUAGGAAA